AUGAACGCUGGCGGCGUGCCUAAUACAUGCAAGUCGAGCGAACGGACGAGAAGCUUGCUUCUCUGAUGUUAGCGGCGGACGGGUGAGUAACACGUGGAUAACCUACCUAUAAGACUGGGAUAACUUCGGGAAACCGGAGCUAAUACCGGAUAAUAUUUUGAACCGCAUGGUUCAAAAGUGAAAGACGGUCUUGCUGUCACUAAUAGAUGGAUCCGCGCUGCAUUAGCUAGUUGGUAAGGUAACGGCUUACCAAGGCAACGAUGCAUAGCCGACCUGAGAGGGUGAUCGGCCACACUGGAACUGAGACACGGUCCAGACUCCUACGGGAGGCAGCAGUAGGGAAUCUUCCGCAAUGGGCGAAAGCCUGACGGAGCAACGCCGCGUGAGUGAUGAAGGUCUUCGGAUCGUAAAACUCUGUUAUUAGGGAAGAACAUAUGUGUAAGUAACUGUGCACAUCUUGACGGUACCUAAUCAGAAAGCCACGGCUAACUACGUG
rnacentral:rRNA from 1 species